UCCCUGGUGGCUCAGAGGGUAAAGCGUCUGCCUGCAAUGCAGGAGACCCAGGUUCGAUCCCUGGGUCGGGAA
rnacentral:tRNA from 1 species